rnacentral:rRNA from 1 species
GUUCGAUCAUGAGAUUGAACUGGCGGGAUGCUUUACACAUGCAAGUCGAGCGGCAGCGGCGCUGGACUGGUUCUGGUGGCGAGUGGCGAGCAGGUGAGUAAUGUAUCGGAACGUGCCUAGUAGCGGGGGAUAACUACGCGAAAGCGUAGCUAAUACCACAUACGCCCUUCGAGGGAAAGCGGGGACCUUCGGGCUCGCACUAUUAAAACGGCCGAUAUCGGAUUAGCUGGUUGGUGGGGUAACGGCUCGCAAGGCGACGAUCCGUAGCUGGUUUGAAGGAGACGACCAUUGCGGGACUGAGACACGGCCCAGACUCCUGCAGGAGGCAGCAGUGGGGAAUUUUGGACAAUGGGGAAACCUGAUCAGCCAUCCCGCGUGUGCGAUGAAGGCCUUCGGGUUGUAAAGCACUUUUGGCAGAAGAAACGGCGGGAUAAUACCCGAUGCAACUGACAAUACCUGCGGAAUAAGCACCGUUAACUUACGUGCCAGCAGCCGCGGUAAUACGUAAGGGUGCAAGCGUUAAUCAAGGUACUGGGCGUAAAGCGUGCGCAGACGGUUCGGAAAGAAAGAUGUGAAAUCCCCAGAGCUUAACUUUGGAACUGCAUUUUUGGCUGCCGAGCUAGAGUGUAUUCCGGAGGUGGAAUUCCGCGUGUAGCAGUGAAAUGCGUAGAUAUGCCGGAGGAACACCGAUGGCGAAGGCAGCCUCCUGGGAUAACACUGACUCAUGCGGCAGUAAGGAGCAAACAGGAUUAGAUGCCUGGUAGUCCACGCCCUGAAACGGUAUCAACUAGCUGUUGGGGCGCUGGGCCCUUGGUAGCGCAGCUAACGCGUGAAGUUGACCGCCUGGGAAGUACGGUCUGCAGUUAAAGAGCUCAAAGGUGGGCGGGGACCCACGCUGGCGGACGAUGAUGGUUAAUUCGAUGCAACGCGAAAAGACGCACCUACCCGCAAUGGAUCGAAGAUUUGGGAGUGCUCGCGAAGGCGGAACACAGGUGCUGCAUGGCUGUCGUCAGCUCGUGUCGUGAGAUGUUGGAUUGCGUCACAGCAAGCAACCGACAUUAGUUGCUACGAAGGGCACUCUAAUGAGACUGCCGGUGACAAACCGGAGGAAGGUGGGGAUGACGUCAAGUCCUCGCCCGAGCAUAUAGGUGAGGCUUCAUCAUACAAUGGUCGGGACAGAGGGUCACCAACCCGCGAGGGGGAGCCAAUCCCAGAAACCCGAUCGUAGUCCGGAUCGCAGUCUGCAACUCGACUGCGUGAAGUCAGAAUCGCUAGUGAAACCGCGGAUCAGCAUGUCGCGGUGAAUACGUUUGGAUGCGCCAUGCCGCCCGUCACUGUGGGGUGAGUUCACCAGAUGAUUAGCCUAACCGUAAAGAGGCUGGGAAUUACCACAGUAGGAUUCAUGACUGGGGUGAGUGCUAAGGUAA